rnacentral:rRNA from 1 species
CAGCAGCCACGGUAAUACAGAGGGUGCGAGCGUUAAUCGGAUUUACUGGGCGUAAAGCGUGCGUAGGCGGCUUUUUAAGUCGGAUGUGAAAUCCCUGAGCUUAACUUAGGAAUUGCAUUCGAUACUGGGAAGCUAGAGUAUGGGAGAGGAUGGUAGAAUUCCAGGUGUAGCGGUGAAAUGCGUAGAGAUCUGUAGGAAUACCGAUGGCGAAGGCAGCCAUCUGGCCUAAUACUGACGCUGAGGUACGAAAGCAUGGGGAGCAAACAGGAUUAGAGACCCCAGUAGUCCCUGUCUCUUAUAC